UUUCUGGAUCUGGCCGAGCAGGAGGCGCCAUCAUGGGUGUUGACAUUUGCCACAACAAGGACCAAAAGGUUCGGCGCAAGGAGCCCAAGAGCCAGGACAUCUACCUGCGGCUGCUUGUGAAGCUGUACAGGUUUCUGGCCAGACGGACCAGCUCCACCUUCAAUCAGGUUGUGCUGAAGAGGUCGUUCAUGAGCCGAACCAACCGGCCACCUCUGUCCCUGUCCCGCAUGAUCCGAAAGAUGAAGCUUCCUGGCCGGGAGAACAAGACUAUUGUGGGGGUGGGGACGGUCAGAGAUGAUGUGCGGAUUCUGCAGGUUCCCAAGCUGAAGGCCCUAUGUCCGUUCCAAGGGCUGGAAGUUUGAGCGCGCCAGAGGCUG